rnacentral:rRNA from 1 species
GAUGAACGCUGGCGGCAUGCCUAACACAUGCAAGUCGAGCGAAGCGGGGACGGGUGAGUAACACGUGGAUAACCUCCUAUAAGACUGGGAUAACUUCGGGAAAACGGUGCUAAUCCGGAUAAUUAUAGAUGGAUCGGUGUUGCAUUAGCUAGUUGGUAAGGUAACGGCUUACCAAGGCAACGAUGGAUAGCCGACCUGAGAGGGUGAUCAGCCACACUGGGACUGAGACACGGUCCAGACUCCUAAGGGAGGCAGCAGUGGGGAAUAUUCCGCAAUGGGCGAAAGCCUGACGGAGCCACGCCGCGUGAGUGAUGAAGGUCUUCGGAUCGUAAAGCUCUUUUAUUAGGGAAGCGUUACCUAAUCAGGAAGCAACGGCUAACUACGUGCCAGCAGCCGCGGUAAUAC